AUACGCGAGGAACCUUACCAAGGCUUAAAUGGGAAUUGAUCGGUUUAGAAAUAGACCUUCCUUCGGGCAAUUUUCAAGGUGCUGCAUGGUUGUCGUCAGCUCGUGCCGUGAGGUGUUAGGUUAAGUCCUGCAACGAGCGCAACCCCUGUCACUAGUUGCUAGCAUUAAGUUGAGGACUCUAGUGAGACUGCCUACGCAAGUAGAGAGGAAGGUGGGGAUGACGUCAAAUCAUCACGGCCCUUACGCCUUGGGCCACACACGUAAUACAAUGGCCGGUACAGAGGGCAGCUACACAGCGAUGUGAUGCAAAUCUCGAAAGCCGGUCUCAGUUCGGAUUGGAGUCUGCAACUCGACUCUAUGAAGCUGGAAUCGCUAGUAAUCGCGCAUCAGCCAUGGCGCGGUGAAUACGUUCCCGGGCCUUGUACACACCGCCCGUCAAGCCCUGGAAGUCUGGGGUACCUGAAGUCGGUGACCGUAAAAGGAGCUGCCUAGGGUAAAACAGGUAACUAGGGCUAAGUCGUAACA
rnacentral:rRNA from 1 species